rnacentral:rRNA from 1 species
AGCGUACACGGUGGAUGCCCUGGCAGUCAGAGGCGAUGAAGGACGUGCUAAUCUGCGAUAAGCGUCGGUAAGGUGAUAUGAACCGUUAUAACCGGCGAUUUCCGAAUGGGGAAACCCAGUGUGAUUCGUCACACUAUCAUUAACUGAAUCCAUAGGUUAAUGAGGCGAACCGGGGGAACUGAAACAUCUAAGUACCCCGAGGAAAAGAAAUCAACCGAGAUUCCCCCAGUAGCGGCGAGCGAACGGGGAGCAGCCCAGAGCCUGAAUCAGUGUGUGUGUUAGUGGAAGCGUCUGGAAAGGCGCGCGAUACAGGGUGACAGCCCCGUACACAAAAAUGCACAUGCUGUGAGCUCGAUGAGUAGGGCGGGACACGUGGUAUCCUGUCUGAAUAUGGGGGGACCAUCCUCCAAGGCUAAAUACUCCUGACUGACCGAUAGUGAACCAGUACCGUGAGGGAAAGGCGAAAAGAACCCCGGCGAGGGGAGUGAAAAAGAACCUGAAACCGUGUACGUACAAGCAGUGGGAGCACGCUUCGGCGUGUGACUGCGUACCUUUUGUAUAAUGGGUCAGCGACUUAUAUUCUGUAGCAAGGUUAACCGAAUAGGGGAGCCGAAGGGAAACCGAGUCUUAACUGGGCGUUAAGUUGCAGGGUAUAGACCCGAAACCCGGUGAUCUAGCCAUGGGCAGGUUGAAGGUUGGGUAACACUAACUGGAGGACCGAACCGACUAAUGUUGAAAAAUUAGCGGAUGACUUGUGGCUGGGGGUGAAAGGCCAAUCAAACCGGGAGAUAGCUGGUUCUCCCCGAAAGCUAUUUAGGUAGCGCCUCGUGAAUUCAUCUCCGGGGGUAGAGCACUGUUUCGGCAAGGGGGUCAUCCCGACUUACCAACCCGAUGCAAACUGCGAAUACCGGAGAAUGUUAUCACGGGAGACACACGGCGGGUGCUAACGUCCGUCGUGAAGAGGGAAACAACCCAGACCGCCAGCUAAGGUCCCAAAGUCAUGGUUAAGUGGGAAACGAUGUGGGAAGGCCCAGACAGCCAGGAUGUUGGCUUAGAAGCAGCCAUCAUUUAAAGAAAGCGUAAUAGCUCACUGGUCGAGUCGGCCUGCGCGGAAGAUGUAACGGGGCUAAACCAUGCACCGAAGCUGCGGCAGCGACACUAUGUGUUGUUGGGUAGGGGAGCGUUCUGUAAGCCUGUGAAGGUGUACUGUGAGGUAUGCUGGAGGUAUCAGAAGUGCGAAUGCUGACAUAAGUAACGAUAAAGCGGGUGAAAAGCCCGCUCGCCGGAAGACCAAGGGUUCCUGUCCAACGUUAAUCGGGGCAGGGUGAGUCGACCCCUAAGGCGAGGCCGAAAGGCGUAGUCGAUGGGAAACAGGUUAAUAUUCCUGUACUUGGUGUUACUGCGAAGGGGGGACGGAGAAGGCUAUGUUGGCCGGGCGACGGUUGUCCCGGUUUAAGCGUGUAGGCUGGUUUUCCAGGCAAAUCCGGAAAAUCAAGGCUGAGGCGUGAUGACGAGGCACUACGGUGCUGAAGCAACAAAUGCCCUGCUUCCAGGAAAAGCCUCUAAGCAUCAGGUAACAUCAAAUCGUACCCCAAACCGACACAGGUGGUCAGGUAGAGAAUACCAAGGCGCUUGAGAGAACUCGGGUGAAGGAACUAGGCAAAAUGGUGCCGUAACUUCGGGAGAAGGCACGCUGAUAUGUAGGUGAAGCGACUUGCUCGUGGAGCUGAAAUCAGUCGAAGAUACCAGCUGGCUGCAACUGUUUAUUAAAAACACAGCACUGUGCAAACACGAAAGUGGACGUAUACGGUGUGACGCCUGCCCGGUGCCGGAAGGUUAAUUGAUGGGGUUAGCGGUAACGCGAAGCUCUUGAUCGAAGCCCCGGUAAACGGCGGCCGUAACUAUAACGGUCCUAAGGUAGCGAAAUUCCUUGUCGGGUAAGUUCCGACCUGCACGAAUGGCGUAAUGAUGGCCAGGCUGUCUCCACCCGAGACUCAGUGAAAUUGAACUCGCUGUGAAGAUGCAGUGUACCCGCGGCAAGACGGAAAGACCCCGUGAACCUUUACUAUAGCUUGACACUGAACAUUGAGCCUUGAUGUGUAGGAUAGGUGGGAGGCUUUGAAGUGUGGACGCCAGUCUGCAUGGAGCCGACCUUGAAAUACCACCCUUUAAUGUUUGAUGUUCUAACGUUGACCCGUGAUCCGGGUUGCGGACAGUGUCUGGUGGGUAGUUUGACUGGGGCGGUCUCCUCCUAAAGAGUAACGGAGGAGCACGAAGGUUGGCUAAUCCUGGUCGGACAUCAGGAGGUUAGUGCAAUGGCAUAAGCCAGCUUGACUGCGAGCGUGACGGCGCGAGCAGGUGCGAAAGCAGGUCAUAGUGAUCCGGUGGUUCUGAAUGGAAGGGCCAUCGCUCAACGGAUAAAAGGUACUCCGGGGAUAACAGGCUGAUACCGCCCAAGAGUUCAUAUCGACGGCGGUGUUUGGCACCUCGAUGUCGGCUCAUCACAUCCUGGGGCUGAAGUAGGUCCCAAGGGUAUGGCUGUUCGCCAUUUAAAGUGGUACGCGAGCUGGGUUUAGAACGUCGUGAGACAGUUCGGUCCCUAUCUGCCGUGGGCGCUGGAGAACUGAGGGGGGCUGCUCCUAGUACGAGAGGACCGGAGUGGACGCAUCACUGGUGUUCGGGUUGUCAUGCCAAUGGCACUGCCGGGUAGCUAAAUGCGGAAGAGAUAAGUGCUGAAAGCAUCUAAGCACGAAACUUGCCCCGAGAUGAGUUCU